rnacentral:rRNA from 1 species
GACGAACGCUGGCGGCGUGCUUAACACAUGCAAGUGGUGCGACGAACCAGGGCUUGCCCUGGGGCCAAGCCGCGAACGGGUGAGUAACACGUGAGUAACCUGCCCCGAUGACCGGGACAACCCGAGGAAACUCGGGCUAAUACCGGAUGUGGCGCACAAUCGUAAGUUUUUGCGCUAAAGGAAGCUUCGGCCUCCGCAUUGGGAGGGGCUCGCGGCCCAUUAGCUUGUUGGUGGGGUAACGGCCUACCAAGGCAACGAUGGGUAGCUGGU